rnacentral:tRNA from 1 species
GGGGCUGUGGCGGAAUAGGCAGACGCAAAGGACUUAAAAUCCUUCGAUGGUGACAUCGUGUGGGUUCGACCCCCACCGGCCCUACCA